rnacentral:misc_RNA from 1 species
AACGGUCUAUACCUGCGGUACCUGCGGAAGGAUCAUUACCGAGUUUUCAACUCCCAAACCCCAUGUGAACUUAUACCAUUUACACCGUUGCUUCGGCGGGUUCUCGCCCCGGGCUUUACAACCCCGGAACCAGGCGGCCCGCCGGGGGACCCAAACUCUAGAUUUUAUUUUAGCAUGUCUGAGUGGAAUCAUUACAAAAUGAAUCAAAACUUUUAACAAUGGAUCUCUAGAUCGGAAGAG